GACGUAGGUGGCGAACGUUAUCCGGAUUUAUUGGGCGUAAAGGAUGCGUAGACGGUAAAAUAAGUUAUUAGUUAACGCCAAGCUCAACUUGGCUGAAGCUAGUAAUACUGCUUUGCUAGAGGAUGGGAGAGGUUGAUGGAAGUCUAUGAGGAGGGGUGAAAUUCGUAGAUAUUGGGAAGAACACCGGUGGCGAAGGCGGCUCUCUGGGACGGUACUGACGCUGAGACGCGAAAGCGUGGGGAGCGAACAGG
rnacentral:rRNA from 1 species